UUUCGGAGCCGCGCGUUCGCUCCGUUGUUCUUUCAAGUUCAGUGGGGAGGAAAGUCCGGACGCCGCAGAGCGGGAUUCCUCGCGAAAGCGGGGGAGGGUCGCUUAAAGGCGGCUCGACGGCCAGUGCCACAGAAAAGAUACCGCCUGCCGGAUGAUUUGAAAUUUGAAAUCUCAAAUUUGAGAUCCGAAGGCGGGUAAGGGUGAAAAGGUGGGGUAAGGGCUCACCGCGGUUCAGGCAACUGGACCGGCAGGGUAAACCCAAUCCGGCGCAAGACAAAAUAGGGGACCUGGGCUGCUCGUCCAUUUGGGUCCCGGGUAUGUCGCACCACUUCUUCGGAAGGGGCUCUCGCUUCGGCGGGAGACAGAUAAAUGAACGUGGCUUCGCUUCGGCGAAGUACAGAAUCCGGCUUACAGGCUCCGAAACUAG
rnacentral:RNase_P_RNA from 1 species